CACGUAGGGCGCGAGCGUUGUCCGGAAUUAUUGGGCGUAAAGAGCUCGUAGGCGGCCUGUUGCGUCCGCUGUGAAAGCCCGGGGCUUAACCCCGGGUCGGCAGUGGAUACGGGCAGGCUAGAGGUAGGUAGGGGAGAAUGGAAUUCCCGGUGUAGCGGUGAAAUGCGCAGAUAUCGGGAGGAACACCGGUGGCGAAGGCGGUUCUCUGGGCCUUACCUGACGCUGAGGAGCGAAAGCAUGGGGAGCAAACAGG
rnacentral:rRNA from 1 species